CCUACGGGUGGCAGCAGUGAGGAAUAUUGGUCAAUGGACGAGAGUCUGAACCAGCCACGUAGCGUGAGGGAUGACUGACCUAGGUAUUGUAAACUUCUUUUAUAAAGUAAUAAAACGAGGCACGUGUGCCUUUUUGCAUGUACUUUAUGAAUAAGGAUCGGCUAACUCCGUGCCAGCAGCCGCGGUAAUACGGAGGAUCCGAGCGUUAUCCGGAUUUAUUGGGUUUAAAGGGAGCGUAGAUGGGUUGGUAAGUCAGUUGUGAAAGGUUGCGGCUCAACCGUAAAAUUGCAAUUGAUACUGGCAGUCUUGAGUACAGUUGAGGUAGGCGGAAUUCGUGGUGUAGCGGUGAAAUGCGUAGAUAUCACGAAGAACCCCGAUUGCGAAGGCAGCUUACUAAACUGUGACUGACAUUGAUGCUCGAAAGUGUGGGUAUCAAACAGGAUUAGAUACCCUGGUAGUC
rnacentral:rRNA from 1 species